GAGAUUCGGGUUCUGCCGCUUAUCUUCAGGAGCGAAGAGCUGCUUCUGUAUCUUAAGGAAAAUCAGUGGAAUGAGCUUCUUGAAACUCUGCACAAACUUCCCAUCCCUGACCCAGGAGUGUCUGUCCAUCUCAGCGUGCAUUCUUAUUUUACUGUGCCUGAUACCAGAGAACUUCCCAGCAUACCUGAGAAUAGAAAUCUGACAGAAUAUUUUGUGGCUGUGGAUGUUAACAACAUGUUGCAUCUGUACGCCAGUAUGCUGUACGAACGCCGGAUACUCAUCAUUUGCAGCAAACUCAGCACUCUGACUGCCUGCAUCCACGGGUCUGCGGCGAUGCUCUACCCCAUGUACUGGCAGCAUGUGUACAUCCCCGUGCUGCCACCGCAUCUGCUGGAUUACUGCUGUGCUCCCAUGCCCUACCUCAUAGGAAUCCAUUUAAGUUUAAUGGAGAAAGUCAGAAACAUGGCCCUGGAUGAUGUCGUGAUCCUGAAUGUGGACACCAACACCCUGGAAACCCCCUUCGAUGACCUCCAGAGCCUCCCAAACGACGUGGAAGGGAGCAUCGUGGUCCAGUGAGCCUUGCCUAAGCGUGUGUGUAUGAU
rnacentral:sRNA from 1 species